GAUCAUUAUUAGCUUGCAUUGUCCGUACAAUUCCACCAGGAUCUGGAGGUAGAAUCAGGAUCACCACAACGCUUCCAAAUAGACUUGGUAAAAUGAUUGCCCCUCUACAUUGGCAUGAUUACAA